rnacentral:rRNA from 1 species
GGGGAAUAUUGGACAAUGGGCGCAAGCCUGAUCCAGCCAUGCCGCGUGAGUGAUGAAGGCCCUAGGGUUGUAAAGCUCUUUCGGCGGGGACGAUAAUGACGGUACCCGCAGAAGAAGCCCCGGCUAACUUCGUGCCAGCAGCCGCGGUAAUACGAAGGGGGCUAGCGUUGUUCGGAAUCACUGGGCGUAAAGCGCACGUAGGCGGAUUGUUAAGUCGGGGGUGAAAUCCCGAGGCUCAACCUCGGAACUGCCUUCGAUACUGGCAAUCUUCGAGUCCGGAAGAGGUGAGUGGAACUCCGAGUGUAGAGGUGAAAUUCGUAGAUAUUCGGAAGGACACCAGUGGCGAAGGCGGCUCACUGGUCCGGUACUGACGCUGAGGUGCGAAAGCGUGGGGAGCAAAC